rnacentral:lncRNA from 10 species
GAACACAAAAUGGCGACACGUGGUUAGCAUUCGUCGCCAACGAGAAAUUGGGGUCGGCCCGAAAGCUCUAGAAUGCACCCCUCUUCCUCCCCGGGGCCUUCCACCUCCGCGAGUUUUAUGACUUAAAAAAGCCCACAGGCUGGUCUGAAGGUCGGAGGCCUAAUUUUAACGCGUUUUCCUCCCUUUAAUUUGAAACGGGAACGCGAAUGACUGUAAAAUGUGGGCACAAUAUUUAAUCUCUCGCCUUUUUAAAGCUUAAUAGUGGAUAAUAGGGGGGCAGUAUCAAGGGAUAAUUUGGGUCCCCACAGUACCAAAGCAUUUAGAAACCUCUGUUUAAUUUAAGGAAUGAGAUAAGUUACUGCUUUUCUAGACUUCCUAGCAUGGGCUGUUGUGCUGGAGAGAACGAGAGCUACGAAGAGACUACAGUGCCUCUGACUUUUUCAUAGGACAGUUGGCCGAGGAAGACAAACAUAAAGAUGAAGUGCUUAAUUCAAGGUCACACAAUGUCGGGGAUGGACCUCCAGAUUUCCUUACUGGAAAACAAGCUCAGGGCUCCCACUGAUUGUACAUUAUGGUGAGACGUGGUCUUGUAACACAGUGGUUAAGAAUGUGACUUUGGAGCCAGCCUGCUAGGGGCUGAAUUCUGACUCAGCCAUUUACUAACUGUGUGACCUUAGGGAGGAGGACCUGGUUGAUAGAAGAAUUUAUCUCGUAGUCUUAACAUCCACUGUAAUUCCAAACUUUGAGGACGAUAGAGAUCAGUGGGCUUUGACUGCCCAGCAUGCAGUCUCCAUUCUUAGGUGGGUUCCCAAGCCUGUAAAAUGUAAGCCUUAUGCUGCUGAGGGCCAUCUUGCCACCCUGAGGGAAACGCUGCCUGAGAAUGAAACAAGCAUAAGUAAAAGCUGAGCUGUGAGAUGGAGCAAGAUGAAGGCCACAUGACAUCUUUGGAGCACCUGGAUCUAACUGUGCCUUAAGCUAGUCUAACCCUGAACAUU